rnacentral:miRNA from 1 species
AGUCUAUUAUUGGCAACCUGGAGGAGCUGUAAACAUCCUUGACUGGAAGCUGGGGUUUAAACGGUGAAGGCUUUCAGUCGGAUGUUUGCAGCAUCUUAUUGCCUUUAAC